AGUGAACGCUGGCGGUAGGCCUAACACACGCAAGUCGAACGGCAGCACAGUAAGAGCUUGCUCUUACGGGUGGCGAGUGGCGGACGGGUGAGGAAUACAUCGGAAUCUACUUUUUCGUGGGGGAUAACGUAGGGAAACUUACGCUAAUACCGCAUACGACCUACGGGUGAAAGCAGUGGAUCUUCGGACCUUGCGCGAUUGAAUGAGCCGAUGUCGGAUUAGCUAGUUGGCGGGGUAAAGGCCCACCAAGGCGACGAUCCGUAGCUGGUCUGAGAGGAUGAUCAGCCACACUGGAACUGAGACACGGUCCAGACUCCUACGGGAGGCAGCAGUGGGGAAUAUUGGACAAUGGGCGCAAGCCUGAUCCAGCCAUACCGCGUGGGUGAAGAAGGCCUUCGGGUUGUAAAGCCCUUUUGUUGGGAAAGAAAAGCAGCAGGUUAAUACCCCGCUGUUCUGACGGUACCCAAAGAAUAAGCACCGGCUAACUUCGUG
rnacentral:rRNA from 1 species